rnacentral:rRNA from 1 species
AUUGAACGCUAGCGGGAUGCUUUACACAUGCAAGUCGAAAGAGUGGCGGACGGGUGCGUAAUAUAUCGGAACGUGCCCAGUAGCGGGGUAUAACUACUCGCAAGAAUGGCUAAUACAGCAUACUAUUGGAGCGGCCGAUAUCGGAUUAGCUAGUUUGGGGGGUAAAGGCUCACCAAGGCAACGAUCCGUAGCUGGUUAAAGAGGACGAACAGCCCCACUGGGACUGAAACACGGCCCAGACUCCUACGGGAGGCAGCAGUGGGGAAUUUUGGACAAUGGGGGAAACCCUGAUCCAGCCAUCCCGCGUGUAUGAGAAGGCCUUCGGGUUGUAAAGUACUUUUGUCAGAGAAUCGGUAUCUGCAGACUAAGCACCGGCUAACUACGUGCCAGCAGCCGCGGUAAGAC